UACAGAGGGUGCAAGCGUUAUUCGGAAUCACUGGGCGUAAAGAGUUCGUAGGCGGUUUGUUAAGUUUAAUGUGAAAGCCCCAGGCUCAAUCUGGGAAGUGCAUUAGAUACUGGCAAACUGGAGUGCAGGAGAGGAGAGCGGAAUUCCAGGUGUAGAGGUGAAAUUCGUAGAUAUCUGGAGGAACAACAGAGGCGAAGGCGGCUCUCUGGACUGUCACUGACGCUGAGGAACGAAAGCGUGGGGAGCAAACAGG
rnacentral:rRNA from 1 species